GUAGGUGGCAAGCGUUGUCCGGAAUUAUUGGGCGUAAAGCGCGCGCAGGCGGUUCUUUAAGUCUGAUGUGAAAGCCCACGGCUCAACCGUGGAGGGUCAUUGGAAACUGGAGAACUUGAGUACAGAAGAGGAAAGCGGAAAUCCACGUGUAGCGGUGAAAUGCGUUGAGAUGUGGAGGAACACCAGUGGCGAAGGCGGCUUUCUGGUCUGUAACUGACGCUGAGGCGCGAAAGCGUGGGGAGCAAACAGGGAUUAGAUACCCUGGUAGUCCACGCCGUAAACGAUGAGUGCUAAGUGUUAGGGGGUUUCCGCCCCCUUAGUGCUGCAGCUAACGCAUUAAGCACUCCGCCUGGGGAGUACGGCCGCAAGGCUG
rnacentral:rRNA from 1 species